rnacentral:rRNA from 1 species
AUGACGGACGCAAAGAUCAAGUACGCCCAACCAGAUGAAGGCACACCUUUUGGAUUCCAUUUGAAGGAAGUCACCAAGUACCUGAACAUUGGACUACCAAGCUUCACCGGGACUUUCACCGCCACUCUGCCUGAAGAGGAGCGCUGGAAGAUUCAAGCUCACGUUCCGGGAAGAACAUUUGCCCCAAUCACCAAGCCUAUAGAUAGUGUUUUCAGUGCACCAACCUGGAGUCUGGGAAAGAGCAUGGCAGCUCAUAUCACCAUGGGACGCAUUGGAGAAAUUUAUCAAGAAGACCUCAAGGACACUAUCUACCAGAUUUGCGGACGCCGAAAUGAACAAUGGGAGAUAGUCAGCACCAAGAAGGAUAGAUCCAUUGCAGCUGUGCAAUGUUAA